rnacentral:tRNA from 1 species
GUUAAUGUGGCAGAGUCCGGGAAGUGCGAAAGUUCUAAGCACUUUUCUCCAGAGGUUCAAAUCCUCUCGUUAACU